CAAAGGGUGAGCGUGGGGUUGCCCCCACCUCAGUCAUAACAGGGACAUCGUUCAUUCAAAGGGUGAGUGUGGGGUUGCCCCCACCUCGGCCGUGACAGGAGCACCAUCCAGGCAAAGGGGGUGUGUGGGGCUGGCGCAGUCUGUCGCGACAGGAGCAUCAUCCGGUCAAGACUGCUAGUGUGGUGCUGGCCCCUAACUCAGUCGUGACAGGAGAAUCAUGCAGUCAAGAGUGUGAGUGUGUGAGUACAGGCUACCCAGGGAGGGUGUGGGUUCUCCCUCUCUGGAGACACCCCAAGCCCACCUGGACAGGUUCUUGUGCCACCUGCUCCAGGUGACCCUGCCUUGGCAGGGGUUGGACUGGAUGAUCUCCACAGGUCCCUUCCAACCCCAGCGACUACAGUGAUUCUGUAGGGCUGCACCAAUUGCUGUCGUGACAGGAGCCUCACCCCUCACGAGUGCCAGAGGUGAGGGCCGUGUCCCUGCGUGUCCCCUUCCCCAGAGGUCCUGCCCUGCGCUGGCACCGAGCAAUGUCCUUUGCACAGCUCCCCCCGUUCCCGUCGCACACAUCCCAGUGACAGCACACUCAGCCCCGGCUCGCGCGGCGAUAACGUGAGGAGGAAUGAGCUGCAGGGUGUGAUUUCAGCGCCGUGUGUGGGGUGAGAUCCCAGCUUUCCUCAGCGCCGUAUCUCGGCGCUGAUACAGAACACAGAAAACUGCCUGAUCCAGCCAUCCCACCCGGCAAUUCACAGACACUUCAAUGAACACAAAACAGAGAGAAAUCAGCGCCAACUGACAUUAAUACACCUGCGACACACACACAACACAGCAAGUAGUUCAGCACACAGUGUAAACACCUUCCCUUUAAAACUUGGUGCCAAGAGAUGUUCUUGUAUAUAUAUGCGUGUGCAAAUAGAAGAGCUGAUCCCUACAUGUGUGCUGGCUUACAUAAAUGCAGAUCCUACAUACAAUCUGCAUUUCCAUCACUUAUAAACCACCCACAGCACCACACUAUAAGAAACUGUAUGUCUGAUCCGGAAUGAAAUAUCUUAGUCCUGUCUCUGUGUUAGCAAAAGAAGGAUGGAGAGGGGACACCCCAUACAAAAUCGUGAUGUUCUAAGGUAUAUGUAGCCCUAUAUCCUUUCUAACAAAAGUACAACUGCUCUAAAAGACUCCUUUGUGGCUGGCCAAGGUCCAGGUAAGGAGGACUUGACAGCCUACACUUCACAUGGCAGCUCUGAAUGAAAAUUCAUGAGUUAGAUCUGAUGACCUAGUUCAGGUAAGGCAAUUACUUAUUCCAUGCCAUGCCCAUAUUAAUUUUAUCUUGCUUAUCAGCAGGAUUAAUCAGCAUGGCCAAAUGUUGCCUCAAUACAGUUAUGUUCCUUUUCAUACCACAACCUCACACUGCACCUAGAUAGACAUAGACAUAGCCUGUUAGAGAGGUAAAGAAUGUCAACGUGGCAGUUGUAUAGAGUUCAUAUAGUUUACUGUAUGUUUCUUAACCAGUUGUAAUAGUUUUCUUGAUAUUGUAUGAGCACAUGAUCCCAUCAUCCCCAAACCAAAACCAAAGUCACAAGCUGCACAUGCAUCUGAAAUUAAACCAAUAUAUCUUUGAAAAUAUGCAAUCAGUGCCAACAAAACUCCUUAUAAAUGCCUGUCACAGGCCUACAUAACCCACAUCUAAGUUUUUAGUAUCCUCUAACACACAACUAUGUACAUAUGGAACAUUAAAAAGUAUAUAAUUUCCACAAUGAUCGUAUACAGGAUAACACCCGCGACUUGAAUUAAUGUAUUUCACUGAUUAACAGCACAGUAUGUCUAUGUGAGUAGUUUCUUCCCUUCUACCAAGUUAAUAUAACCUGCAUUAUAUGUUAUUUUUUGUAAAAAUACAUUUACCACAGCAGUAUUUUUACACACAAGCAUAUUUACUAACCUUCAUAUACAAGAACACCUGCAAAGGACUUGAAACCCCUGCCUUUCAUUUUCUUCCUAUUUUUGAGUAUUACAAUUAAACAUCAGUAGCAAUUUGCAAAACAAAAUUAUAUUAGGAAGAAUCCCAGGUCGUAUUUCAUAUUAUUUCUCCCUGUGAUAUACUUCUUAUGUCAUUCUUGGUUUCCUUUCUGUGCCUGUUUCCAAAAAGGCUCAUGGAAAAAUAUUUUAAGCAUACCAGAGCCAUGGCAUGUGCAAUUAGGGCUUGGCAGAGUGUAUGAUAAAGUAGAUAUGGUGUUCUUUCAGUCUAACUUGUUAGCAGGAGGAAAUGCUGCUAGGAAGGCAAAGAGAGCUUGCAUUCUAGUGAAUCCUGGAGAACUCUUGGUAUUCUCUGGGAUCCACUAGUUCAGCCAAAGUUUGUAAACUCCACUUUCAUUGUUUCUCUCUCAUGCAUUAAUAUUAGAUGACUUCAUCCUUCCCCUUUUUUUCCUUUUUGAGCAUAGACCCAACAUAAAAUCUGGGAAGAUUCUGGACGGUUCUCUGCCUGUGUUUAUUUCUGUCAUGUGUUGUGUUAUGGUUCAGGGAAUUUUGAGAGAAGAAUGACUGAAUUAAGGAUCGUUCUACAGUUCUUUCUCCCCCAGAGCAGAAUAACCUCUGCGUUUCCUCCACCGUUGUUUCCCUGUCUUUCCCCAGAUGUGCAAGACUGAUCCUGCUGACCAAUGAGGAUUUCUUUGCAGGUGAUACCUUCCAAAUCUUCUGGCAGCUACACUUUUGAAGAACAUUUGCAGAUACAGUGCUUGGUCUAGACAGAACAGUGCAGAAUGCGCUACAAAUACCCGUGUAGACACUGCCGCAGAAGCAGUACCUGCUAAAUUUGGCAUCACUUGAUAUCACACAAAUUUAGAAUUGUGAGUUGAAAUCAGUGUUGUUUCCCAUCGCUCUGCAAGGAUUCAUGAAGCUUCUGAUGCCAUUUGCCUUGUCUCUUAAAGAAGAUGGUUAUCUUGACCCAAAUCAGAGUGAUAGCACCUCAGCUCUGCCUUAAGCACCGAGCUCAUGAAAGCUCCAGGUGAUUCAUACUCCCAGCAGGUGCAGGGAGCUUUGCAUUCUCCCUUUUUAAGGAAGGAAAAUCGAUUUAUUUUGCUGCUGUGAAGUUGCAGUUUGUUUUUAGACUGGAACCCCUCAGAGCGGUACCUCAGAAAGCAACACAACAAAAUGGGGCAGCUUUGGCCUUGAUGAAAUUCCAUUCGCAUAAUGGAAGGAUAUAUUCAUACAUUUGGCCUACUAUCUUUUUUCACUGUAAUAUAUUAAAAAGAAGCAGCCAACACAUCAGGCAGCAGCGUUAAAACAGUUCCUGUAAUGCUUACUAAUUGAAGUAAAUGGGAAUUUGGCCUGAGAGAAGACUGCAGGAUGCUUUCCUUCAAAUUGCAAUAACAUUAAGUCAUCCCUAUUGCUGCAAAGCAGAUUCACAACAGAGUUACUGAUCAUAAUGUGAAUUGUCUCUUGCUGUACACAAAAACAUACGUUUUGUAGCUCAAUUUUCAAACCACAUUAAUAGUUUUGAGUGGAGCUAAACACAGCAGAGAAGGGCACCACACAAAAUGCCAGUUGUUGAGCCAAUACACUUGAAUGCUGACCUGCAAUAGCCUUAUUAUUUCAGGCCUGGAUCUCUUUCAGUGGACAUAGACAAAGUGAUCAUAUUGUGCUUAAUUGUGCCAAAUUAUGUCAUGAUUUUUGCAGCCUGGCUAAUUGCCUGAUGGGGCUUAGGCUGAGACCACCAAACUCAUUGCUCUUGUCUUCCUAGCUGAUUUCAAAUCCAAGUCUUCAUGAGUGACAAAUGGGGGCAUUGUUUCUUCCUCCCACGGUACUAUUUUAUUCCUCUGAAAUUACAGUUAUUAAAAUGUUUCAGCCAGUUGAAAUCUACUCAGGCACAUUAAAAUGCUGCAAAAGUGCUGUAUCAAAGUGGAAAGGUUUUAAAUCUGCAGUUCUGUCAUAGGAUAAUGCAGUUUAAAUAUAGUAACUGUUUUUUCCAGUCAGCUUGCUCUUUGAUUUCACGGUAUUAUGUCAAGGGGUUUUUUUUCCUCUCUCCCCCUUUAAGAAGCUUAUAGCUUAAACAGCAAAAUGCAAAAAAAUCCUGACAUGAAACAAUUACACAAACCCAGCAGAGAAAUCAGUGAUAAAAUAUGAGUUUGAAUGUUGACAAUUAAGGUGAUCUGAGUUUAUUCUGAAUAAUUUUUAUUCCUUGGCAAUGUGUGUUCCUGUAUCAGCAGCAGGUAGAAUUUGACUUCCACAGAGACCAAGAGAACGUGAACACAAAGGAUAGUGUUGCUGCUGGGAGAUUUCUAGAACUGGAUCACUGUUCCUGCACAAAGCAGCUCCUUGCUGCCUUGGAAUUCUGAUCUCAGUGAGAGUAGCUAUAAGAGAUCACAGUUUGGGUUGGUACAUCUCUUAUUUUAUUUCUUUAUCUUAUUUAUAGUCAUUUGGUUUGUCGCUGAAGACUCCAUUAGAGUAUUUGCCACAAUAAUCUCCAUUUCCCUGCUUGGAAAAAUCUUUCUGUCUAUUCCAUUCUGAUUUCAGUAGGAGAUCUAAAAGUAUGGGAGAGAGAAACAUUAUGUCAGAACCAAGAUCCAUACUACAUAUCUAAAAAAAGUAAUUUAUCCAUAUUUGAUGGCCAAGUUGUUUUUCUGGAAAAGGAAUCAUCUUGACUGUUAUCUUAAAAAUGCACAACAACUUUAGAAAUAAAGCACUGGUUGGUGCCCACGAGAUUUGAAUUCUUAUCUCAUCCUGACCUGAAUUUUCCAUCUAAUUAAGGUCUAAUUCUGAUUAAUUUGGCAGCUCGCUGCCAUUUUUUCCCUAUGUAAAUAUUCCUUGUGGGCUUCUGGAUCUCAGUUUUGCUCUCUGUAGAAGGGGCUGAGGAUCCUGCUGAGCUUGGGGGGGGCUGUGUGGCCAAGCACAGUAUUUCUAAAAUGGCAGUUUGUUGUUUGUAAGGUGUUACAGAAUUACUCUGUAUUCUAUAUCUGCAAUGAGUUGAUGGGUAAUUGUAGUGUCAUAGCUGUGAUCACACCGUAUACUAUGAUCUGUAGAACUUCAUAGUGCAAUAAAAGUUGAAUUAUUUUCCUACAGGACGUGGGCCACCACUUCCUGAGCAGAGAAGUGGCUUCAGUUUGGAAGCCCUCAAGAGAGCAGAACCAGUUUGAAACUAGACACGUGAACACACAACACAGCCUUGUUUCUUAGUGUUAAAACUGGUUUCUUUUUGUGUUUCUUGAGUAUGUUAAAGAUACUAAUGUUGCAUUUAGAGUUUACCUUUCACUCUCUGCAGGAUGUAUUUUGCACUGUUUAUAUUACUCAGGGCCAGGUGAGCUCCCCUGGUCCUUGGUGGGCUGAUGAAAAGUCCUGGAAACUCCCAGCUACAAGUGUUGUAGCACGGUAACACGAACAGCUCCACCAUGCCACGGGUGUCUGUCAUUCCACAGAUUUGCUGAAUCACAGUAAAAAGUCACAUUGUCUGACUUUUCCAGACUGAAGGGAAGACAUGCAGGUGCACUCCAUGCGAGCAGCAAUAAUCACAGGAAAUGUGGAAAACAUACAGUACCAAACUGUACUUUUUGGACACAUUUGUGUAAUGUUGCCUUCCACGGACUAGAGAAAUGAAGCUUGGAUUAAAGCUCACUCCACUGGGGAGAAAACAGAUUUUUUUUUUCCAGUGUCUGGAAACAGAAAGCAAACGCAUUUUCAGACGUUGUCCUGCCUUGUUCAAGAAUCUCUUUCACAUCUAUACCUGAAAUGGAAGGAGCUCCCUGAGUGGAUUUACCUGGUGCUGGUGUGAGUGUGAAGCCUGAGCAAUGAUCCCAUGUAUCUUCUGUGAUGUGACAUAAAGCUACAGGUGU